rnacentral:rRNA from 1 species
ACUCCUACGGGAGGCAGCAGUGGGGAAUAUUGCACAAUGGGGGAAACCCUGAUGCAGCCAUGCCGCGUGUGUGAAGAAGGCCUUCGGGUUGUAAAGCACUUUCAGUAGGGAGGAAGGUAGUNUAGUUAACAUACCUUGCAUUUAUUUGACGUUUACCUACAGAAGAAGCACCGGCUAACUCCGUGCCAGCAGCCGCGGUAAUACGGAGGGUGCGAGCGUUAAUCGGAAUUACUGGGCGUAAAGCGCAUGCAGGCGGCCUGUUAAGUCAGAUGUGAAAGCCCGGGGCUUAACCUCGGAAUUGCAUUUGAAAACUGGCAGGCUAGAGUCUUGUAGAGGGGGGUGA